CCUACGGGUGGCAGCAGUGAGGAAUAUUGGUCAAUGGGCGCGAGCCUGAACCAGCCAAGUAGCGUGAAGGAUGAAUGCCCUCCGGGUUGUAAACUUCUUUUAUAAAGGAAUAAAGUGAGGGACGUGUGCCUUUUUGUAUUUACUUUAUGAGUAAGGAUCGGCUAACUCCGCUCCAGCAGCAGCGGUAAUGCGGAGGAUCCGAGCGUUAUCCGGAUUUAUUGGGGGUAAAGGGAGCGUAGAUGGGUUGUUAAGUCAGUUGUGAAAGUGUGCGGCUCAACCUGACAAUUGCAAUUGAUACUGGCAGUCUUGAGUACAGUUGAGGGAGGUGGAAUUCGAGGUGUAGCGGUGAAAUGCUUAGAGAUCACGAAGAACUCCGAUGGCGAAGGCAGCUUACUAGAC
rnacentral:rRNA from 1 species